rnacentral:rRNA from 1 species
AUUGAACGCUGGCGGCCGGCCUAACACAUGCAAGUCGAGCGAGCGGCGCACGGGUUAGUAAUGUAUGGGGAUCUGCCCGCUAGAGGGGGAUACAUACUGGAAACGGUGGCUAAUACCGCAUACUAUCGGCUGAACCCAUAUGGGAUUAGCUAGUAGGUGGGGUAAAGGCUCACCUAGGCGACGAUCUCUAGCUGGUCUGAGAGGAUGAUCAGCCACACUGGGACUGAGACACGGCCCAGACUCCUACGGGAGGCAGCAGUGGUGAAUAUUGCACAAUGGGAGCAAGACUGAUGCAGCAAGGCCGCGUGUAUGAAGAAGGCCUUAGGGUUGUAAAGUACUUUCAGCGGGGAGGCGUUACCCGCAGAAGAAGCACCGGCUAACUCCGUGCCAGCAGCCGCGGUAAUAC